rnacentral:misc_RNA from 1 species
AGUCGUAACAAGGUUUCCGUAGGUGAACCUGCGGAAGGAUCAUUACAGAAUGAAAAGUGCUUAACUGCAUUUUUUCUUACACAUGUGUUUUUCUUUUUUUGAAAACUUUGCUUUGGUAGGCCUUCUAUAUGGGGCCUGCCAGAGAUUAAACUCAACCAAAUUUUAUUUAAUGUCAACCGAUUAUUUAAUAGUCAAAACUUUCAACAACGGAUCUCUUGGUUCUCGCAUCGAUGAAGAACGCAGCGAAAUGCGAUAAGUAAUAUGAAUUGCAGAUAUUCGUGAAUCAUCGAAUCUUUGAACGCACAUUGCGCCCUUUGGUAUUCCAAAGGGCAUGCCUGUUUGAGCGUCAUUUCUCCCUCAAACCCUCGGGUUUGGUGUUGAGCGAUACGCUGGGUUUGCUUGAAAGAAAGGCGGAGUAUAAACUAAUGGAUAGGUUUUUUCCACUCAUUGGUACAAACUCCAAAACUUCUUCCAAAUUCGACCUCAAAUCAGGUAGGACUACCCGCUGAACUUAAGCAUAUCAAUAAGCGGAGGAA